ensembl:antisense Tmem74bos transmembrane 74B, opposite strand
GGCGUCACUCAGCCUCACAACCCUGGCUUGCCUGUUGUCAUGAGAUUCUCUGAGCUGCUGGAACUAUCAUGCAUGCAGAUAUCUGCACCCCUGGUUCCUUCCCUUCUUCCUUGUUUUGUUCAAAGCACUGAAGCUUUAAAAAAAAAAAAAUCCAGAACUACGUCUUCCAACGUGAACCACGUCCUGCUCUCAUUAAUUCCACCCUUGGGGACUUAGCUGCCAGCCUGAAGGAAGCUGGUGACUAUACAAGUCAAAGGUCCCCCGGGCCUGUAACCAAGUCAUUGCUAAGGACUCUAUCAAGGACACUGAGAUGGAAAUGCCGGGAGAGCCAGCUGCAAGUCUUGGGCAGACCCUGGAGUGGCUGAGGGAGGAGCUGGCCGAGAUGCAGAUCCAAGACCAGAAACUGCUACUCACACUAAGGCAUCUGCAUAGCCUCCUGGAGGAGCUUCGAGCUGAAAGCACCCACUGGGAGGACACAAGGCCCAGCAGAAACACAUCACCUUUCCGAGCAAGGCUGGGAUCAGAGGGCAGAGCCUGCCAGCCUGUGCCGAGGCAACUGACCGAGCUGCUCCGAGGGGAAAAGAGCAGGCGAAGCUCCCUUCCGUAGCCAGCCAGAGGACGCUCAUCAAAACCCUCCUACCACUAGUAUAAAUCAUGUGUCAGCUGUGUGUCCUUGAAUCUGUCAUUUAACUGUCUAUGUCACUUGCCAGAGGGUGUGUGUAUGUGUGUGUGUGUGUGUGUGUGUGUAAGAUAAAUUAUUGGAGGCAUAUAUGCUUUGUAAGUACAACUCUGUUACAUAGCUUCCAACAGGACGACACCAUUUUUCACAGGGCAGUUGUUAAAGAAAGAGUAUGAUAUACAAAGAGGGUUACCUACUGUUGCCUUGGCGAAAAAUCAGAACAUCUGUAAUGACUUCCUAUUUUCUGUGUUCCUGUUAGGCCUUCUUGUCCACCUUAAUCUGAUAGCAAAAGGUCCUGUUGCACCACAGAUCACAGAGAGGAGCAUGUCAGAUAUGUAAUUCAUGUUGGCUCGAACAUCAUAAUUCAUUAUUGGCUUAAUUCAUGGGCAUGCGACUCAACAAAGUCAACCACAAGCCUUCCUUGGGCUUGCUAUCUGGAUACUGCCAACCACACUUCUACAGUUAGAUUGAUUUCUUUUAGGCUGUGCUGAUCUUUGCCAGUAAGCAGUGUAAGGUUAGACUCCAGAACAAGAGGUGAAAGGAGGGACCGACUCCUUUGUCCCCUGCAGUAUCUUAGAGGGCAACCUGUGGUGUCACCCACCGGAGCUGCUUCACCUCAGCACGUGGCACCAGCCCUGUCCAAGUCCAAGGCCCAGUCUGGAGGCCCCCUCUAUGCUCAGACCCUCCUUCUCAGAUGACUGCAGGCCAGCUCUACAGGGCUCCUGUCUGUGUGGUUUAAAUUGUAAUCCUUCAGCUUCAUUGUUCCCUAGCACUGGGGGUGGUAGAUUCUUUCUGUAAUUGUUAGCUUAGAGUUCUUUUUAUAACUUCUCAUCUACUCAGUUAACUUUAUACUUAGUUAAUAAUUCUUUGUAUUAAAUUCUGUGUUUCAUUAAAAAAAAAAAAAAAGGAAAUGUUGGAACAAGCAAAAGAAACUUAUUCUAAGUACGACCAUUUUGUUUUCAGACUCCAUUUAAUCAGAGCAAGAAACUAAAUUCAAGGUCCUAGUCUCUAGGGGAACUGAGGACUUUGCAAUAGCUGAACAGCUUCUAUUAUAAGGAAACAAUUGUCCAAGUCCAGACAUCUCAGAGACAACUUGUAAGUGAAGAGUUGUCUGAGUCCAGACAUGUCAAGGACAACUUCUCCAUCUUGCUGGCAGGGUCAAACUGAGUUCAUGUUCCCAGGCCCUGGAACCAACUCCUAUCCUGACUAAUGAAAACUCUCUUGUUCCAACUCCUUAUGUCAAACUAUGAUUGGACAGUGCUACAGCCUACCGUUCUUCCCCUUGCUUUGUGGUCUCAUCCUUUAAAUAUGCUGUGCAGUUUCUCUUCAGGGUUGCAGUUCAGCUCCCGAGUCUGUUCUGUGGCAUUGACUGAUCAGUCUUGGCUUGAUUACAAUAAAUUUUUGUCAUCUGCGUUGA